rnacentral:tRNA from 1 species
UACCAAGGUAGCCGUAGGGGAACCUGCGGCUGGAUCACCUCCUUAAUCGACGACUCAGCUGCGCCAUAAGCACCCACACGAAUUGCUUGAUUCAUUGAAGAAGACGAUUAGAAGCAGCGCCCGAGUUCGGGUCUGUAGCUCAGUUGGUUAGAGCGCACCCCUGAUAAGGGUGAGGUCGGCAGUUCGAAUCUGCCCAGACCCACCAGUUUACUGGUGAGAUAGCUGGUCAGAGUAGACGCCUCCACGGUAUGUAGAAAUACGGGGCCAUAGCUCAGCUGGGAGAGCGCCUGCCUUGCACGCAGGAGGUCAGCGGUUCGAUCCCGCUUGGCUCCACCACUUACUGCUUCUGUUUGAAAGCUUAGAAAUGAGCAUUCCAUUGAUCCUGACGAUCAGUGCAUGAAUGUUGAUUUCUAGUCUUUGAUUAGAUCGUUCUUUAAAAAUUUGGGUAUGUGAUAGAAAGAAAUAGACCGGGCACCUCUUUCACUGGUGUGUGUCCGGGCUAAGGUAAAGUUUGUGAAAUGCAAACUUUCGGCGAAUGUCGUCUUCACAGUAUAACCAGAUUGCUUGGGGUUAUAUGGUCAAGUGAAGAAGCGCAUACGGUGGAUGCCUUGGC